rnacentral:rRNA from 1 species
AGCAGCCGCGGUAAUUCCAGCUCCAAUAGCGUAUAUUAAAGUUGUUGCAGUUAAAAAGCUCGUAGUUGAAUUUCAGGCCUGGCUGGGCGGUCCGCCUUUUGGGUGAGUACUGCCUGUGGUCGGGUCCUACCUUCUGGCGAAGCGUCAUGGCCUUAACCGGCCGUGGCGGGGAACCAGGACUUUUACUGUGAAAAAUUAGAGUGUUCAAAGCAGGCAGUCGCUUGGAUACAUUAGCAUGGAAUAAUGGAAUAGGACAGUGGUUCUAUUUGUUGGUUUCUAGGACCGUUGUAAUGAUUAAUAGGGAUAGUUGGGGGCAUUAGUAUUCAAUUGUCAGAGGUGAAAUUCUUGGAUUUAUUGAAGACUAACUACUGCGAAAGCAUUUGCCAAGGAUGUUUUCAUUAAUCAAGAACGAAAGUUAGGGGAUCGAAGACGAUCAGAUACCGUCGUAGUCUUAACCAUAAACUAUGCCGACUAGGAAUCGGGCGAUGUUGACAAAAUGACGCGCUCGGCA